rnacentral:rRNA from 1 species
GAGGGAAAGGCGAAAAGAACCCCGGCGAGGGGAGUGAAAAAGAACCUGAAACCGUGUACGUACAAGCAGUAGGAGCCCCAUCACUCAAGUGCCUCGCACUGAGUGAUGCAAUAACAUCACCGAAAAUAGCGCCGAAUUUGCUAACAAGGUUGGUCGAUUUUUUCAAGCCGUCGCGCAGUGUACCUAGAAGUACACGAGCAACGGAAGUUAAAAAAUCGGGCAAGAUUGAACGCAAAGGCAAGCGGGACAUUUGAGGAUGGGGUGACUGCGUACCUUUUGUAUAAUGGGUCAGCGACUUAUAUUCUGUAGC